GGCACUUCUUGGAUCAUGUAAAAUAUCCACUCUGCUAAAACCUUCAUCGGAUCUCACUCAGCAAGAAUCUGAGCCACCAUUUAUGGCUGAAACCAUGCAUCUUUCGCAGAGUGUCUUGCAUUGCUUUGCCUGUGUAGAACCCACUUCCGCGCCACAUCUCAGAUUGCACAGAAGCACUCCACCUAUAUGUCUUUGAGGAUAAAGGCACUUCUUGACAAGAGAUCAUGUAGAAUAUCCACUCUGCCAAAACCUUCGUCAGAUCUCACUCAGCAAGAAUCUGAGCCAACCAUUCACGGCUGAAAUCAUGCAUCUUUCGGAGG